UAUAAUGGUAAAUCAUGCAAAUUCAGUCUGUAUAUAUUUAAAUAAAGGAAUGAGCAUUGUUGAGCUUGCUUAACUCAGGAUUAUUAAUAUGGCUGAAGAUCCUGGACAAUAUAUUCGUUAAGAUGGCAUUCGUAAAAUGUGUUCCUCAAUUCCUGAGUAUCUUGAGUUGUUAAUAUUGUUAUGCCUCCAAAGGAUUCAAGGUCAAAGAAGUUUGGGAAACAUUGUCUGAAGUAAAGUAACAACCACAGGUAUGAGUGAGCAUAGAGUUUAGGCAAGAGAACUGACUACUACAGUCUCGAUCCCAUUUAUUCUACGUGGAUACUUUCAAGGAGGAAAUGAAUCUGGAAAACAUGUUUGUGGACAGGUAAUGUUUUCCUUAUUUGAAAGCAAAUUUAAAUGCCUUUACUUUUUCCUUAGUUUUAAAAAAAAUUUUCUGCUUAAGUGUUCUUGACAUUUUACUCUACCCUUUAAACUAAUAACUAACUUAGUAAUUUUUACUAUUAGUAACAAGGGUAUUUUUCUGAGUGAUGGGAUUAUGGGUGAUUGUAAUCUUCCUUGGGCUUUUUGGUAUUUUCAAAAUUGUCUAUGAUGUACAUAUAAUACUUAGAAAAGCAGCAAAAUUCAAAUAAAGCACUGUGUACAAUUACCGUGUACAGUAACUUGUGGAAAGGGUGUAGUAACAGUCGUUGACUCUAACUAGAACUGAACCAAUCUUUACCCAGAAAGAAAGUAGGAGGAAGAUUUGGCCUGUCCAUUAAAUAUAUAUGUUUGCAUUAUAACAAUGAGAAAUUUGGCAGGAAAAAAAUUUCUUGACAAAAAGCAAGGUUUCCAAUUUCCAUCCUAAAUUACUCAUAUAUGAUAUUUGGGGGUGGGUUGGGGAAAUAAUUGAGCAGGAUUUCUUUAAAUUAAAGCCUUUUUUAUCUAAGGGAAAUUCUCACUAAUGUCUGUUUCUUCUUCUCAGAGCCUUUCCACAAAUCCAACAAGAAUAUUCUCUUUACUGGGAUAGAACUGUAGGCUAAUAUCUGCAUGAACUGGCUCUUCUUGAGUCAGUCACAUUACUCAGGGGGUUCCAUUCACGCUCAAAUAACAUUUUGUAAGUCAUGUGGAAAGAAACUGCAGACUGAACAAACAUGCUGAGCAGUUUUCCUAGUGAAGAUCAACAUGGGAAAGUUAGCAGGUCUUUGUUUUUCCCAUCCUUAUCCAUUAUCAGUAAAUAAACAUGAGUUCUUGAUAUUCUUUUUCCUGUGGAGCCCCUCAUUUGGACCAUGCUGUAGUCUAAUUUUAAGUCACAAAAUUUAGUGCAUGCUUAGAGGAUUAGAGCAUGGAGCAUACUCGCACCAGAAAUGAAGGGCCAGUUAGUAGUAGCUCCAGGGGUUCUUGCUGUCCCCUUGCUCAAUUUCUCUAUAGUUCUUUCCUUUUGCUAUACAAUUGCAAUGUAAACAACCUUAGGAAAAUUGUAAUGUUUAGACUUAACGUAAGAAGCAAUAAAGAUGGACCACUAGAGAAUUGUAGUAAUCUAUUUUAAAAUUAAUAUUAUUUCUCUUUUUCAUAUACCUUUUAAAAUAAAAGUAGAUUAUGUCUUAAAA